AGAGUUUGAUCUUGGCUCAGGAUGAACGCUGGCGGCGUGCUAAUACAUGCAAGUCGAGCGAACAAGACGAGGAGCUUGCUCCUUUGACGUUAGCGGCGGACGGGUGAGUAACACGUAGGUAACCUACCUAUAAGACUGGGAUAACUUCGGGAAACCGGAGCUAAUACCGGAUAAUAUUUCGAACCGCAUGGUUCGAUAGUGAAAGAUGGCUUUGCUAUCACUUAUAGAUGGACCUGCGCCGUAUUAGCUAGUUGGUAAGGUAACGGCUUACCAAGGCAACGAUACGUAGCCGACCUGAGAGGGUGAUCGGCCACACUGGAACUGAGACACGGUCCAGACUCCUACGGGAGGCAGCAGUAGGGAAUCUUCCGCAAUGGGCGAAAGCCUGACGGAGCAACGCCGCGUGAGUGAUGAAGGUCUUCGGAUCGUAAAACUCUGUUAUUAGGGAAGAACAAACGUGUAAGUAACUGUGCACGUCUUGACGGUACCUAAUCAGAAAGCCACGGCUAACUACGUGCCAGCAGCCGCGGUAAUACGUAGGUGGCAAGCGUUAUCCGGAAUUAUUGGGCGUAAAGCGCGCGUAGGCGGUUUUUUAAGUCUGAUGUGAAAGCCCACGGCUCAACCGUGGAGGGUCAUUGGAAACUGGAAAACUUGAGUGCAGAAGAGGAAAGUGGAAUUCCAUGUGUAGCGGUGAAAUGCGCAGAGAUAUGGAGGAACACCAGUGGCGAAGGCGACUUUCUGGUCUGUAACUGACGCUGAUGUGCGAAAGCGUGGGGAUCAAACAGGAUUAGAUACCCUGGUAGUCCACGCCGUAAACGAUGAGUGCUAAGUGUUAGGGGGUUUCCGCCCCUUAGUGCUGCAGCUAACGCAUUAAGCACUCCGCCUGGGGAGUACGACCGCAAGGUUGAAACUCAAAGGAAUUGACGG
rnacentral:rRNA from 1 species